UACGUAGGCAGCAAGCGUUGUUCGGAGUUACUGGGCGUAAAGGGUGUGUAGGCGGUUCUUUAAGUUUGGUGUGAAAUCUCCCGGCUCAACCGGGAGGGUGCGCCGAAUACUGAGAGGCUAGAGUGUGGGAGAGGAAAGUGGAAUUCCUGGUGUAGCGGUGAAAUGCGUAGAUAUCAGGAGGAACACCGGUGGUGUAAACGGCUUUCUGGACCAUAACUGACGCUGAGGCACGAAAGCGUGGGUAGCAAACAGG
rnacentral:rRNA from 1 species